GUGAGAAAGGGAGGGGAGAGUUUGAAAACAACCCAGCAGGCUCGAAGGAAGGAAGGAGGCUAGAAAGUGACCUGCUCACCUCCGUGCAAGCAUUUUGCUCCAGGUGAUCGGCGGUGUUAGGGGUGGAAGCUCAGGAGAGGUCUGGUAGCGGCCGGUGGGUCCCCGCUCGGUGUGGGUCGGCGUGGCGGAGGUCCUGGGUGCAGAGGUGGACAACUGAUGGAACAUUCCAUUAGGAAGAAUAAAACUGUUCUUACAAGGUAGUUUGCUCAGAUUAGACUGAGAUCCAUACAAAAAAUCUCCAACCAACAGUGACUGGGAACACUUGAGAACUCCUGAAUGAUUGAUUGAGGCCUUGGAGGGGAAACGUUAAGACUUCACGUUUCACAGUCAGUUCUGUUAAGCAACUAUGGAAGUAGAAAAGGAGCACAUUUAUAUUACCCCAACAGAACUUGAGAAUCUAAGUGAUGCUCCAUUUUCCGGUGAUGAAGAAAAUGGUGGGUCUGAGGAACGAAAGACUGAAAUCAAUGGAAAUUGGAUUCCUGCAACUUCAAUUACUGAAGCCAAAAUAAAUGCUAAAGCAAAGAGACGUUUGAGGAAAAAUUCUUCUAGAGAUUCUGGGAGAGGAGACUCGGUUAGUGACAAUGGAGAGACACUGAAGAUUGGAGUUGUACCAACAAGCCCAAAGGGGAGACUCCUGGACAGGCGAUCCCGGUCUGGAAAGGGAAGAGGUCUACCAAAGAAAGGUGGAGCAGGUGGUAAAGGAGUUUGGGGAACACCAGGUCAAGUGUAUGAUGUAGAAGAAGUAGAUAUUAAGGAUCCUAAUUACGAUGAUGACCAGGAGAACUGUGUCUAUGAAACAGUAGUUUUACCUCUGGAUGAAAGAGCAUUUGAAAAAACUUUAACACCAAUCAUACAGGAGUAUUUUGAACAUGGAGAUACUAACGAAGUUUCGGAGAUGCUGAAGGAUUUAAACCUUGGUGAAAUGAAAUACAGUGUGCCAGUGCUGGCUGUUUCCUUGGCAUUAGAGGGGAAGGCUAGUCAUCGGGAAAUGACAUCUAAGCUUAUUUCUGACCUUUGCGGGACAGUAGUAAGCAAAACUGAUGUGGAAAAAUCCUUUGAUAGACUGCUUAAAGAACUACCUGAAUUGGUGUUGGAUUCUCCCAGGGCGCCACAGUUGGUGGGCCAGUUUAUUGCUAGAGCUGUUGGAGAUGGGAUUUUAAGCAGUACCUACAUAGAUGGCUACAAAGGCACUGUGGAUUGUGUCCAAGCUCGAGCUGCGCUGGACCGAGCUACUGUGUUGCUGAGUAUGACAAAGGGUGGAAAGCGUAUAGACAACGUGUGGGGAUCGGGAGGUGGCCAACAGUCUGUGAAACACCUUGUUAAAGAGAUUGAUAUGUUGCUGAAAGAGUAUUUGCUUUCCGGAGAUGUACUAGAAGCUGAACGUUGCCUUCAGGAACUGGAAGUACCUCAUUUUCACCAUGAACUUGUAUAUGAAGCCAUUGUGAUGGUUUUGGAGUCAACUGGAGAAAAGACCUUCAAAAUGAUACUGGAUUUGUUCAAGUCUCUCUGGAGGUCUUCUGUCAUUACUAUGGACCAAAUGAAAAGAGGCUAUGAACGAGUUUACUGUGAAAUCCCAGAUAUUAACCUGGAUGUGCCACACUCCUAUUCUGUGCUUGAGCGGUUUGUAGAGGAAUGCUUUCAGGCUGGAAUAAUCUCCAAACCACUGAGAGACCUCUGCCCUUCAAGGUACUUGUUUUAUUGUAGAUAGGUGAAGGCACUGCCUUUUGUUCCCAUUGUAGGUAACAGAAAGCAGGAUUUUAUGACCAAAGUAUUACAGAUUGGAACUGGAAACUAUAGAGGAUGGAGAAACAGAGGGUUGGACUGGGGCAGAAAGCGUUUUGUGAGUGAAGGAGAUGGAGGUCGUCUUAAGCUAGAAAGCUACUGAAUGUGAGAACCAACUCCUGAAGCCUUAAAAGUUUAAAGGGAAAAUAGAUAUCUAUAUAUAUACAAACAUGCAUCCUUUUUUGGUGUGUGUAUGUAUAUAUGUAUACACAUAUAUAAUACACCAAAAUUUUAAAGAGUUGCUUAGCACAGUUCAUAUUUUUUUAAAAGCACAUGUUUUGGGUACAAAUUGUUUUUUUAAAAUAGUUUUAUAAAUUUCAGGAAGAAAACUUCUUUCUUUGGGCAUAUAGUAGAACAACUGGCCACUCUGCUGUGGUGGUGCCUUCAAAUAAGCUAUCUUUUAAGUGCCAUAUGUUUAUGACCUAAUCAUUCCAUGUUUGCAUCAAUGUCUGCCUGUCGCUCUUUCUUUCAAGGACAGUGUUGUCGUCAUAAAAUCAUUGGUUUAUACAGAGCUUUAUAGAAGGGUCAAGUUAAGCUGCUGUGAUCCCAUUUCCAUUGCUGCUGAAGAAAUACUGUGCUUUGGGAGGAAAAAUAGCUGUUUCUUUGUUUUAAAGAACCCAAGAAAAAGGAGUUGGGUCAUAAGAUUAAUUCAUCUGUUCCAGGGGAGAACACUGGUUGGUUUUAGCCCCCAUGUACCAAACUUGUCUUUUUUUUAUGUAACUGGGAAAGUGAAAAGUUCUGGCAAAACAUAUUAAAAAUAUUUUUUUGUGAA